ACAGUCACACAUUAGAUACCCCGGUAGUCCCAGCCGUAAACUAUGCUCGCUAGGUGUCAGGCAUGGCGCGACCGUGUCUGGUGCCGCAGGGAAGCCGUGAAGCGAGCCACCUGGGAAGUACGGCCGCAAGGCUGAAACUUAAAGGAAUUGGCGGGGGAGCACAACAACGGGUGGAGCCUGCGGUUUAAUUGGACUCAACGCCGGACAACUCACCGGGGACGACAGCAAUAUGUAGGCCAGGCUGAAGACCUUGCCUGAAUCGCUG
rnacentral:rRNA from 1 species